CGAAUAUUUCAACCGAAUCUUCUUGCAUCCGCCAGAAGUGCCGUUUAGCGACGGUCAAGGGUGCUCAAUAUGGUGACGAUUCGUCACGAUUACAGCUUCGACUCAGAAUUGCCGACCGAACGGGCUGUGACUAUGGCUAGGAGAGACGUUUCAAGAGACGACUAGAAGAACCAUUUACUCUCAACCUAUGGCACUACCGAGCUUUCUCCCAUAUCAUCUCUUCGCUGUGACGAUACGUUUCUCACCUUAGAUUCAUUGGAGUUUCGGAGACAGACGGAGUAACAGAUGGACAGAACAGACGAACGGACACGUCGGAGAUUGGGUGUAUCCGAGGGAUUUCCUUUCUCAAGCUCGCAAAUGUUAUGGUAUUCUGUGCAUGUUUAUGGGAGUGUAUAUUCAAUCGUAUAUCUUUGUACGGACACCAUCGUUUCUACAUAGCGUUACGGCCACCGGCGUACUGCUAUAUUGUAAAUUUGUUCAAUGUAUUGUCACAUAUUCUUAUGCUGGGUCGCGUCGGACUCUCUGGCACGUUAUCGUAUCGCAUCACGCUUCUUGACGAUGAUGAUGCCUCCCCGUUGGGAUGCGCGGAACGUGCUGCAGACGCGGAAGCCACCGAUCCUACCAGUACAGGAGCCUACAGUCGGCAUCCGGCAGAGACGCCCAGCGGCGACGCUAUUGUGUCGUAAGUCAGUAGUUGAUUCGGCUACUUGACGGUAACGUCGCGCCAUUGAUUGAAGCCGUCUCUCUGCCUAACUGCCACAGCCAUUUCUUUGCAACGCUACCGGCUGCCGCGGGGAUAUGAGUACUAUGACGUACAUACACAGUGAAAAGGAGUUCCUCGGAUCGAACGCAAUUGGCAGACUAACAUGCACCGUGUUACAUACAAUGAAGCUGGCAUAACUAAUUAAAAAACGUUUUUUGACUUGUUUUUUCGUAGCGAAAAGAAAGUUUUUUCUCCCUUUUUUUGGUGCUCCUGACGAGAGUUAAUGGAUGCAGUGUAUUGAA